ACCGGAGCAGCCACCAGCCACCGCCGACUGAAUAGUGAGCUAGGUAUCUCUCAGAGUUGCUUGCGGAACGCCACAAAUUGGGCCCAUUUGUGCCUGUGUCCCGGGGAUGCUUGUAGGUCUUAGCACACCUACCCCGUAGACGACGUAGGUCACAGGCCAACGUAGAUCAUAAUCUUGUGGAUGAGGAUAGUGAGGAGAUCGGAUCAUGUCUCUAACACCCAGCGUUGACUUUUUGGAUUCUAAUUCUGCUAUGUUUUCUUGGAUAGGUAUAUGAUAUUUAAGUGUUUGAAUGUAGUUUUAAUUCGAAUUAGAAGUACUUUGAAGGUAAAUUUGAUUGUAGAAUGUAGUUUAUGGUUGUUUAAGUUUAUGAUGUUUAAGUGUUUGAAUAUAGUUGUAAUUUGAAUUAGAAGUACUUUAAAUUGAAAUUUGAGGUUGAAUUUGAUUGUAGAAUGUUGUAUGUUAUGAUUGAAGAAGUACUUUGAUGAAUUGGAU